rnacentral:rRNA from 1 species
UUAUGAUUAGUGGCGCACGGGUGAGUAACAUAUAGAUAAUGUACCUUUUAGUCUGGGAUAGCCAUUGGAAACGAUGAUUAAUACCGGAUAUUCCUUCUAGUCAGAAGACUAGUCGGGAAAGUUUUUUCGCUAAGAGAUCGGUCUAUAUUCCAUCAGUUAGUUGGUGAGGUAAUGGCUCACCAAGACAAUGACGGAUAGCGGGUUUGAGAGGAUGAUCCGCCACACUGGUACUGAGACACGGACCAGACUCC